rnacentral:tRNA from 1 species
AGCCCAGUAGUUCAACUGGACAGAAUGCCGGAUUUCGGCUCCGGAGGUUGAGGGUUCGAAUCCUUCCUGGGCUACAA